CUUGGGAAUCAGAUGUCUUACUUCAUCAGAUAGCUAGACUUUAGAGGAAUUCAUCAUUUUAAAUGUCAGAAUAUCAGAUUGAGUUAUCGAUUCCUUAUGGCCUUCAGUAAAGGUCAGAGAAGUGGCAAGCCUCAGCCGACGCUGCUCCAUGGAAGUCACCAGAAGAGAAUAGAGGACAGCCCACUGACGCAGAGAAUCAGAGCACAGCAUCCACUAUUAGUUUGGACAAACUGUGGUGGCCACCAGGGGUGUAUGUGUGUGAGAGAGAGAGAGAUUAUGAACUGAUUGAAAAACUGAAGAUUACCAGCAACUGGAAUGAGGAUAUAUAGGAAGGAGGAGCCAGAAAUGUGAGCAAGCCCUUCAGAAUGUACCUUCUCCACCACCAAGUGAAAAUGAAGAUUCCUCCCCUUGUAAUACUCGGUUGGCUGUGAUGCAACAUUUUGGCAAGACUCCAAAGCAGAUUUGCGAAGAAAUGCACCCUGAAACCCAUGCCAAUACUCCAAUCUAUAAUAUCCUGCUCAUGCUCUGAGGUCAUUAAGGAAAAAAAUCAUGAAAAUAGGUGGAGCCCCAGAAUUUCCUCUAAAAAUCAGAAGACUCACAGAGAGAAUCUCCGAGAUGCUCUGGAAGAACAAUGGCCAAGCAAAAUUCUCCCGGAGGACAGAGUCUGUGGCAGUCUUUCUGGGUGACCAGGAAUUCUUGACCAAGACUACAAAUGUAGCCCAUUUGACAUCGAAAACAUUGGGACAGGUGUGAGAGUGAGGAAAAUGGGGAGAAAAAAGAACUUUGAAGACAAGGAUUUGAAGUUAGCAUGAAGCAUGGAAAGGAGGAAGGGCAAGCUUUCUGCAGUGAGGACAGUGCCUGCCAGAGAAAACCAGAUCCUGGGGAGGGGUUUCUCCAGAAAGAGAAAGUCAAAGCUGCAGGAACUUUUCAAAUGUAGAGGAGCCUUUAGAAGGAAGCCUUGAGCAUGAGGACAGACCCCCCUCAUCCAACCACCACCUGACUCUGUGUGAACCUGGAACUGUUAGAAUGUCUGUGCUGUGAUAAAAGGUCAUCUCCCUACAAUGUUAUGAUACAGACCUCAAACCUACAAACAUGAGGAACUUCUGCCUCCAGGUUAACUGCUUACCCACUGUACAAGACACGUUACACACAGUCCAGGAGGCGGAGCUUCUGAGAUAUCUAGAAACAGCUUAGAGGCAAAAUGACAAAAUAAAGCAGCAACAACAAAUAAAACCAAUCUUCUCGAACUGGC
rnacentral:lncRNA from 1 species